GAUGGGCUCAGUCUGGCUCCACAGGUCUGGUGUAGAAGAGGCUCUCAGGAGACUGUUUGUUUGUAACAGUGCUCACAACAAUUAACGAACAGGAAGCAGCUCCAUUUUUUUAGGGCCCCUAAAAAGUGUAUGUAAGUAGGGGAUGUUUUAUGUGUUAUUGUAGAGGAUGCAAUGUGUGUGUGUUCUUAUAGAAUGUAGUGUAUAGGGAUACCAAUUUCUGUAAGGGAUGUAGUGUGUUUAUAG